rnacentral:lncRNA from 1 species
UUUGGCCCCGGAGGCCCCCAGCCUCUCUUCAAGGGUGGGCAGGGGGAUAUGGGGUCGGGGUGGGGAUGUAGGGAUGCGGUGAUGCGGUGGAUUUCACUAUUUGGCCUCCCCUCUUUUGGCCUCCUCUCCUCGUUUGGCCUCCCCUCGUUUGGCCUCUCCUAAUUUGGCCUCCCCUAAUUUGGCCUCCAGAUUUUGGCCCCGGAGGCCCCCGUCCUUGCCUCGAGGGCGGGCAGAGGAAUAUGGGGUCGAGGAGGGGACAUAGGGACGCGGAGACACCAUGAAUUUCCCCAUUUGGCCUCCCUUUCUCAUUCAUCCUCCCCUCUCGUUUGGCCUCUUCUCCUCGUUUGGCCUCCCCUCGUUUGUCCUCCCCAUUUGGCCUCCCUUUUUUGGUCCCAGAGGCCCCCGGCCUCACCUCGAGGGUGGGCAGGGGGAUAUGGGGUCGAGGAGGGGACACAGGGACAUGGAAACACCAUGAAUUUCCCCAUUUGGCCUCCUCUAAUUUGGCCUCUCCUCCUCGUUUGGCCUCUACUCAUUUGUCCUCCCCUAAUUCAGCCUCCCCGUUUUUUGACCCCGGAGGCCCCCGGCCUCCCCUGGAGGCCACUCAGCCAAACCCAUGGCCAAAAGGGAACCUCCCACCCGU